GACGAACGCUGGCGGCGUGCUUAACACAUGCAAGUCGAGCGGAAAGGCCACUUCGGUGGUACUCGAGCGGCGAACGGGUGAGUAACACGUGAGUAAUCUGCCCUUGGCUUCGGGAUAGCCACCGGAAACGGUGAUUAAUACCGGAUACGACCACUCUAGGCAUCUAGUGGUGGUGGAAAGUUUUUCGGCCAGGAAUGUGCUCGCGGCCUAUCAGCUUGAUGGUGAGGUAAUGGCUCACCAUGGCUUCGACGGGUAGCCGGCCUGAGAGGGUGACCGGUCACACUGGGACGGAGACACGGCCCAGACUCCUACGGGAGGCAGCAGUGGGGAAUAUUGGACAAUGGGCGGAAGCCUGAUCCAGCAACGCCGCGUGAGGGAUGACGGCCUUCGGGUUGUAAACCUCUUUCGGUAGGGACGAAGCGCAAGUGACGGUACCUACUAAAGAAGCACCGGCCAACUACGUGUCAGCCGCCGCCGUAAUAC
rnacentral:rRNA from 1 species